CAGAGAAACUCUGUCGCAAAAAAACAAAACAAAGUUCAUUAAUAUCUAGCUAUUACAUUUGUAGAAAUCAACACUGAAAAAACUUAGUCUCAGAUUACCCAACCAGAUAACCUGUGGCAUACUCGGCCAACUGUGCUGGGAAGGGCUGCAGCCAGGUUGAGGGCAACUUCAGAGCAUCCAGCGUUCAAGCUCCAACAGGCUUUAAAGCUCUUCUUGAAGUUGAGACCCCUGGCGGGGUGUGGCCACCUCAGCCCAUGCUGUGUAACUGAUGAAAACAGAGCAGUACAGUGGCCUCUGAAGACCUAACAAUUGAAGAUGUAAUAAUUGCAUGAGCUUGCUAACAUGACAUCAAAAGCUGUGCCACACUCAUGCUCAGCGGUCUCCUGCCUGGGAAGUUAUUUCAUCAGGUAUAUGAUUACUGAAGCCAAAGGAUGAUGAACCAAAUCUGCACAAGCAAACAAAAGGCCCGUUCUUAAGACUGCUCCGAAUUUACCCUAUACAUUGAAUAUACUUCAAAAAAUUAAAAAUAGAUUUUUAACUAGA